rnacentral:lncRNA from 1 species
CCCAACCUAGUUAGGUUCUAUAUUUUAUUAAUGAUUGCUUUAUACUUCUAGGAGGUAUAAUUUGAGUGACACCAAAUUUUGGGGUUAUUGCCUAGGUUUAUGAUUACAAAGUUAAGUUAUUAUGUUUGUUAGUUUGUUACACGACCAAAACUAGGGCCUUGUCGUAAUGGUUAAUCCUAAUCCCAACCAGGACCAAGAAUCGCCCCCGUUAC